rnacentral:rRNA from 1 species
UACGGAGGGGGGCGAGCGUUGUCCGAAGUUACUGGGCGUAAAGCGCGCGUAGGCGGGUUGGCAAGUCCGCUGUGAAAGCCCGGUGCUUAACGCCGGAGGGUCGGUGGAUACUGCCAGUCUUGAAGGUGCUAGGGGAAGAUGGAAUUACCCAGUGUAGCGGUGAAAUGCGUAGAUAUUGGUAGGAACACCAGUGGCGAAGGCGGUCUUCUGGAGCACUCUUGACGCUGAGGCGCGAAAGCUGGGGGGAGCGAACGGG